rnacentral:rRNA from 1 species
GACGAACGCUGGCGGCGUGCCUAACACAUGCAAGUCGAACGGAAAACAUAGCAAUAUGUUUUUAGUGGCGAACGGGUGAGUAACGCGUAGACAACCAACCUUUUUGUGGGGGGCAACACUUCGAAAGGAGUGCUAAUACCGCAUACGCUCCAGAUGCCGCCUGGUGUUUGGAGGAAAGGAGCUGUAAGGCUUCGCAAAAAGACGGGUCUGCGUCUGAUUAGCUAGUUGGAGGGGUAACGGCCCACCAAGGCGACGAUCAGUAGCCGGUCUGAGAGGAUGGACGGCCACACUGGGACUGAGACACGGCCCAGACUCCUACGGGAGGCAGCAGUGGGGAAUCUUCCGCAAUGGACGAAAGUCUGACGGAGCGACGCCGCGUGAGUGAUGAAGGCCCUUGGGUCGUAAAGCUCUGUCAUCAGGGACGAACGGUCACGUCAGGAAAUGGGCGUGAAUUGACGGUACCUGAGAAGGAAGCCACGGCUAACUACGUGCCAGCCGCCGCCGUAACA